rnacentral:misc_RNA from 1 species
AUCAAAUUUUGACGCAUGUUUGUUGAAACGAUGGUUUAAAAUCAACUUUUUUUUGUUUAAUGAUGUACGUCAUUUAUAUAGAAAACGCAAUUCGUUGGAUGUUCGCUGAUACAUUCCAGUGUGUUAACGUCACAUCCAGGAUUGCAAUUUAUCCAUAUUAGGUAACUUACCUGAUCAUCAGCUCUGUGAACUGACACUUAGCAUUUGAUUUGAAGAUGUUAAUUAUUUGUAAUUAUCCGUUUUUGUUGUUGUUUUUUUUUAUUUUAUGACGUUAAUGUAAUUUAUUAUGCCCUAACUCUUUUCUUUUUUUCACAGAAAUUUUGGAUUUUACUCUCUUUCAUUUGUUAACAACAACAUGCAGAUUAUAAAUUUUAAUUUUUCAAUUAUCUUUUCCAAUAUCAUCAUGUUUUUAUCUCACAGUUGUUAUAAAUAAAGAAGUUACGUUCU